rnacentral:lncRNA from 1 species
AAAGUGCCCUUCUCUCUGGAUGAGAAUGCAGACCUAACUUUGAAAUUCUCAUAAUCCAGAGACACCCCUCCAACCAGGUGUUGAAAAUGAUGACUAUCCCUUUAACAGGCCACACUGAAGGCCUGCACAGCAGGCCCUUGUCAGAGAAUCUUGUUGCAAGGCUUCCAGGCGUGAGUUGUAAAUCAAUUAUAAACCACACCUGCCCAAGCCUUGAUGCAAACCAUUGAUAUUUAAUGGUCUAAUGGUCAUCCUCCACAUUGAGGCUUGUUCCUGAAUUAAGGCAUCUGGACAAAGUUUUCCGAAGUUCAUCCACCAUAUAAAAUGCAUUCUCCUACAAGUUAUGAGAGACUUACACUGCCUUCAUCUUAUAGGGGUUGCACACAAACUGCUGCUGGAACAGUGAGUGAUGCCACUGCCGAACAGCCGUGUAGAGAAACCGGAUUAUCCUCCGACCUUCAGUUCCAUAUCUACACAACGGAGGGGAAAAACCUACAUCUCAGAGAGACUGUGACACUCAGGGAUAAACCCCCUCUGGCUCAAGUCAUAAAUGACAAUACAAGAUUUGUUUUCUGUGGAAAAGCCCUAGUACAGCCAUAUGGGUAUUUCUGGCCCAAGAAGUUGGGCCUGGGAGGACAGACCUGGCCUGGCCAUCCUCCAGACCCUGCGAAGGACUCUUCUGUGACAGAGAAGGAGUAUUCCAUGGUCUAUAAUCCAUGUGAACAGAUGUACAAUGGGAAGCAUCUUUGUUAUUCCAACCCUGGGGGAAUUUCUUUCACCAACCUGCAGCAGAGGCCUUAA